rnacentral:lncRNA from 1 species
CUGCAAGCAGCGGUUACAGCAGUCAGCCCAACAGCUGAGACCGUGCACAGAUGCAUGCAAGGAGACUGUGGAAAGAGCAGGAUCUCCUUUCCUUUCCAGAAGGGCACUUAGGUGGAUGAAAGGAGAAUUGCAUACUCUCAGAUUUCAAUCCACUGGUGUUGAAGAAUAGAGAAGCCUACAGAUUCUGAUGAUGGUCCUUCUGGUUGUGCUAUGUGGGAUGCCACCUCAGCAUGGCCUGAUGAGUUGUGCUACGUCUGUGCCGAGGAUCCAAACCAGCGAAACCUUGGGCCACUGAAGCGGAGCAUGCAAACUUAAGCACUCGGCCACAGGACUCUCCCCUCAAGAUACAAUGCAAAGGAUAUUUAUAUACCAACAGAAG